rnacentral:lncRNA from 1 species
UUCGGAGUUAAGAGUUGGAAUAACCGCUUAACUCCGAAGUUAUUUCCAAACACCCAAUUUGGAGGGUGGGGUUAGCUAACCCUACCUCAAAUGGGCUAUCCCGGGUUAGCUAACCCCACCCCACCCCACUACUCUAACCAAACAAAACACUAUUUUAUCCACUAUCUUUCUUAUCCCACCUAGUCUAACAAAACACUAUUUUACUUAUACCUGAACUAAACCUAAUUCUCAAUCAAACACAAAAUUACUCUAGCUCCAUCUUAAUCCUGAACUUAACUCUAUUCCUGGAAUAACAAGUUUUUACUUAACCCCAAACCAAACGAUGGCUUAGGGUUCCGUUUAUAUCCUAUUACUAUAUAUAUUUUUAUAUAUCCAAAAUAUUUCUAAAACCCUCAUCUUAGAUGCACCUCUUCCUUCCUCAUUGACAUUCUCGACCGCGCCGCCUCGCCCUCGCCCACCUCUCCGUCCUGCCCUCACACACGCUCUCGUCCUCCUCCAUCGUCUCACCCUCGCCCUCGCCACCUCUCCUUCCAUGCCNCCCACUCAACCCUAGGGGACCACCACUAAACCCUAGGCACCCGUUUGGUUCGGGGUAAAGGGGUGGAAUAACCCCUUAACCCCGAAGUUAUUCCCAAACACUCAAUUUGGGAGGUGGGGUUAGCUAACCCCACCCCACCCCACCCCACCCCACCCCACUACUCUAACCAAACAAAACACUAUUUUAUCCACUAUCUUUCUUAUCCCACCUAGUCUAACAAAACACUAUUUUACUUAUACCUGAACUAAACCUAAUUCUCAAUCAAACACAAAAUUACUCUAGCUCCAUCUUAAUCCUGAACUUAACUCUAUUCCUGGAAUAACAAGUUUUUACUUAACCCCAAACCAAACGAUGGCUUAGGGUUCCGUUUAUAUCCUAUUACUAUAUAUAUUUUUAUAUAUCCAAAAUAUUUCUAAAACCCUCAUCUUAGAUGCACCUCUUCCUUCCUCAUUGACAUUCUCGACCGCGCCGCCUCGCCCUCGCCCACCUCUCCGUCCUGCCCUCACACACGCUCUCGUCCUCCUCCAUCGUCUGACCCUCGCCCUCGCCACCUCUCCUUCCAUGCCUACCUCGAUCUUCUCCCUUAAGUCGCUGAAAUGGAGGGGUUGUGGGGGGGCUGGAGGAGCGGGGGAGCAGGUGAAGAAAAUGGGGUCGGAGAUAAGGUCGAGAGAGGCACGAAGGACGGAGGAGAAGAGGCUACAAAUGAGCAGACGAAGAGAAUGAGGAGCAAUUUAGUCGUUUUGUUAUCAAGUUAACACCUAUUUCUGUGAAUAUUUUUUAUUUUAAAAGGGCAAAGUAUUGAUUCUUAAAUAAUAGAAAAAAGUGAAAAAUCGAAUUUUGACGGAUAAUUUUUUUUUUUGUAAU